UUUGGUCUGGCUUAUACAAUUCGGUUUUUCAUAUCAUCAACAUUCACUGUUUCGGUUAUAAAUCUCUUUAGUUUCUUGUGUUUACAGAGAAUGGUGAGAUAAGCAUAAAACCAUAACACAUUGUUAACGAAGUAACAGCUAAUACCUUUAUACGGGAAUACCCAAAAACAAAAAUUUCUGCUUUUUACAACAGUAACUGAGCACACCACAAGGCAAACCUUGAAGCAAAUAUGCUACUGUAAUGGAAGAACACUCCCGCCUGUGUACCACAUGAAGAUGAAGUUACAAUG
rnacentral:lncRNA from 1 species